rnacentral:rRNA from 1 species
CGGGAGUCAGACUGCACGAGAUAAGUUGGGCAGUCAAAAGGGAAAGAGCCCAGACCUGCUGCUAAGGUCCCAAAGUACGUGUUAAGUGGAAAAGGAUGUGGGAUUUCGAAGACAACUAGGAUGUUGGCUCAGAAGCAGCCACACAUUCAAAGAGUGCGUAAUAGCUCACUAGUCGAGAGGUCCUGCGCCGAAAAUGUCCGGGGCUGAAACACGACACCGAAGCACAGGAUACCGCAAGGUAUGGUAGAGGAGCAUUGCUGGCGCGAUGAAGCAGUACCGUAAGGAGCUGUGGAGUGCCAGGAAGAGAGAAUGCCGGAAUGAGUAGCGAGAGAGAGGUGGGAAUCCUCUCGGCCGAAUAUCCAAGGUUUCCAGGGUAAAGCUGAUCUGCCCUGGGUAAGUCGGGGCCUAAGGAGAGGCAGAAAUGCGUAUCCGAUGGACAGCAGGUUGAGAUUCCUGCACUAUCUUAAAACAGAACUGUGGGGACAUUUGUGGAGAGCACAGGCGCGGAACGGAAAGCCGCGUGCAAGCGAAGGAGGAGUCACAUAGGAAAAACCGUGUGGCAAUCCAAAGGCGUGAUGCGGACCGAACUAAAGUAGGGAAGUGUGUGAGCCAUGAAUCAAGAAAAGCCGCUAUUGUUUUUAAGAUACCCGUACCGUAAACCGACACAGGUGGAUGAGGAGAGAAUCCUAAGGCCGGCGGAAGAAGCAUUGUUAAGGAACUCGGCAAAAUGACCCCGUAACUUCGGGAGAAGGGGUGCCACAGAAAUGUGGCCGCAGAGAAUAGGCUCAAGCAACUGUUUAGCAAAAACACAGGUCUAUGCAAAACCGUAAGGUGAGGUAUAUGGGCUGACGCCUGCCCGGUGCUGGAAGGUUAAGAGGAGAGGUUAGCGCAAGCGAAGCUUUGAAUUUAAGCCCCAGUAAACGGCGGCCGUAACUAUAACGGUCCUAAGGUAGCGAAAUUCCUUGUCGGGUAAGUUCCGACCCGCACGAAAGGCGUAAUGAUUUGAGCGCUGUCUCGACAAUGCAUCCGGUGAAAUUGAAGUACCAGUGAAGAUGCUGGUUACCCGCGCCAGGACGGAAAGACCCCAUGGAGCUUUACUCCAGCUUGAUACUGGGAUUCG